CGGUUGCAGAGAGAGAGAGUAAUAAUAAUGCAAAGAAUCGGGAAUGUUCAAAAACUCUUUCUCUUGACUGCAAAAAUGUUAGACCAUAAUUUAAUUUAGUUGAAAUUAAAAGCGAAAAGAAAAACGAAAAAAACAAAUUUCUCUAAAGAAUCACAAUCUCAUCACCUUCUUCUUCCUCCUCUGUUUUCUCUCUCUAAAUCCAUGGAUCCUUCUCUGCCUCCUCCGUUCACUGCUUUUCCUCCCUUCACCAACUCCAACCCUUUCCCCCCUCCCCAACACCCCGUCUACGGCGGCGCCGUUAACUCCUCGGCCGUCGCGUAGACUAACAACAACCAGUUCUUUCAACCAUCGCAACCAGUUCUUUCAACCAUCGCCGCCAGUUCCUUCUCAUCCAUCUGUUAACCACCCUCAUUACUUCGAAGUUUCGGACGCCCUUUCUCACGAAGAAAAUUCUUCCCUACCAAGGGGUGGUCGCCUGGGUGAAAUAUGUUACAAGUCUUCUCUCUUCAAUUAUUAAAACUAUAUCUGGUUUCAAUCUCUUAUAUCUUCAAUUAUUAAAACUGUAUCCGGUUUCAAUUCAUAGUUUACGUUUCCCCUUCGAUAGAAAUAAAACUCUUUUUUUUAGUCAUAAGCGCCGGUAGCGGGUAAGAUAUACAUAAUACAAAUGUGUCAUCUCGAUGACAGAAUUGGCAAGUCAUCACAUAAAUUACUUGGUUCGCCAAUUAUUACAAAAAUGCACACAUCUGCAAUUUCCACCCACAUUUUGUAUAUUGACCUUAAUAGACCAAUAAUAUUUUAUGGAAAUUAUUGUAUAUGCACAAAAAUUGAUGGAUUUAGAA